AGUUUGAUCCUGGCUCAGGAUGAACGCUAGCUACAGGCUUAACACAUGCAAGUCGAGGGGCAGCAGGAUCUAGCAAUAGAUUGCUGGCGACCGGCGCACGGGUGAGUAACACGUAUCCAACCUGCCGAUAACUCGGGGAUAGCCUUUCGAAAGAAAGAUUAAUACCCGAUGGCAUAAUUAGACCGCAUGGUCUUAUUAUUAAAGAAUUUCGGUUAUCGAUGGGGAUGCGUUCCAUUAGGCAGUUGGUGAGGUAACGGCUCACCAAACCUUCGAUGGAUAGGGGUUCUGAGAGGAAGGUCCCCCACAUUGGAACUGAGACACGGUCCAAACUCCUACGGGAGGCAGCAGUGAGGAAUAUUGGUCAAUGGGCGUAGGCCUGAACCAGCCAAGUAGCGUGAAGGAUGACUGCCCUAUGGGUUGUAAACUUCUUUUAUAUGGGAAUAAAGUUUUCCACGUGUGGAAUUUUGUAUGUACCAUAUGAAUAAGGAUCGGCUAACUCCGUGCCAGCAGCCGCGGUAAUACGGAGGAUCCGAGCGUUAUCCGGAUUUAUUGGGUUUAAAGGGAGCGUAGGUGGACAGUUAAGUCAGUUGUGAAAGUUUGCGGCUCAACCGUAAAAUUGCAGUUGAUACUGGCUGUCUUGAGUACAGUAGAGGUGGGCGGAAUUCGUGGUGUAGCGGUGAAAUGCUUAGAUAUCACGAAGAACUCCGAUUGCGAAGGCAGCUCACUGGACUGCAACUGACACUGAUGCUCGAAAGUGUGGGUAUCAAACAGGAUUAGAUACCCUGGUAGUCCACACAGUAAACGAUGAAUACUCGCUGUUUGCGAUAUACAGUGAGCGGCCAAGCGAAAGCAUUAAGUAUUCCACCUGGGGAGUACGCCGGCAACGGUGAAACUCAAAGGAAUUGACGGGGGCCCGCACAAGCGGAGGAACAUGUGGUUUAAUUCGAUGAUACGCGAGGAACCUUACCCGGGCUUAAAUUGCAUUUGAAUAAUCUGGAAACAGGUUAGCCGUAAGGCAAAUGUGAAGGUGCUGCAUGGUUGUCGUCAGCUCGUGCCGUGAGGUGUCGGCUUAAGUGCCAUAACGAGCGCAACCCUUAUCUUUAGUUACUAACAGGUCAUGCUGAGGACUCUAGAGAGACUGCCGUCGUAAGAUGUGAGGAAGGUGGA
rnacentral:rRNA from 1 species